GGUGGACAUCACCGCGUCCCCCACGCCCACGCGCGGCCACCUUCCUGCCCCAGGCCAGCCUCGCGGUGUCGGCCUUCCGCUCCCUCUGGCGGAGGCGGGCGGCCAGGCAGCGUUCGGAGCGAGACUGGAGACCCGGAACUUCAAGCUAAGCCACAGAGAUAGAGAUUUAAGUAAAGGACCCCCAAUCACCGGGCUGCCACGUGCCCAGCUCUAGGUCCCCUGCAGCCUCCAUCCCGGGUCAUCCAGGAUGUCCCCUCCACCCCCACUCCCAGCCCAGGAAGGAAAGGGACUCCUGGCGUUUGGGCGCCACCAAGGAAGCGGCCAAGCACCUGUGGGAACACUUGGAAUGGACAAGAGGAGUUCUCUGUCAUCUACGACACAACCAGUCGUCCACUGCUGGCUUCUUUAUCCAGAAGUUGUGCCAAGAUUUUUGCUUCCUUGGAGCCCCAACAGGCCUCAGUGCGUAGACAGGCCAGUGCCUGGACACAUCAGGUCUGUGGAGGCUCGAGGGCGAAAAAGUCUGAGUAUGUUUCAGAGACCUGAUUUUCUCUGCCAUCAAGAGAGAAGGAAAAAAUCUUCACUGACUGUCUUGACAAGUAAAAAUGCAGGUGGCUUUGGGAAAAGAUUUUUUUUAAAGCAGUAUCUGCGGAUUGAAACCGUAAACUCUUCUGCCCCUGGCAUGCUGUGGAUCUCCUGAAAAUGACUUUGCUCCACUAGGAGAGUGAAGCACAGCAGCUCUCAGGGAGAAAAAGCCCUGUGGUGAAGGCCUCCGAAGGAGGCCUGUUUGAAGAAUCUCUGGACCUCAUUGAUUUGGGGGCAUCCUGAAGGGUGAGCUAGUCUGAGUGCAGUCUUAUUUUUUAAAGAAUCUCUUGGGGCGCCUGGGUGGGUCAGUCAGUGAAGCGUCCGACUUCGGCUCAGGUCAUGAUCUCACCGUUCGUGGGUUUGAGCCCCACGUCGGGCUCUGUGCUGACAGCUCGGAGCCUGGAGCCUGCUUCAGAUUCUGUGUCUCCCUCCCUCUCUGAUCCUCCCCUGCUCAUGCUCUGUCUGUCUGUCUCUCUCAAAAAAUAAACAUUAAAAAAAAAUUUUUUUAAUCUCUUGAGACAGACUUCCACUUCUGGGCAGAAGCUAAGAAACUUCUGUGCCAGGAGAUUUUUAGUGUUUAUCGGCAGUACUUUGGAAGUGUGAAAAUAUUUCAUUAUCAAAACACCCCUUGAAAUGUAGCACACUGCUCUGGUCUCCAAUAUGUGGUCCCAAGCUUUGUUAAUUGUGGAGUUAACCUGGGAGAGAAUGACAUCCUGCCAUGUGGCUCCUCCCGGAAAGAGCCCCCUUUGCUGUGGACUUUAGAAGAUUUCUGCAUUCGUCAGCUGAGUGGUCUUGGGACACUUGCUCACCUUCUUGGACUUGUUUCUCUGUGGAUAGCCCACCUCCCAGAGACUUCUCAGCGUUCAGGCACCCCUGGACAAUGUAGGGCAUUGCACAAGGUUAGUUCUUAUGUUGUUGUCUCCAUCCUCUCUCCUAGGGUCCCAUUCUUUUUGUACCCCCUGGAGCAAGAGUCAUUCCCCUGCUGAGAGUUGCUUUCGUUUUAGCAGCCCUCCAAUCCUCCACGACCCCCGCCCCACCCAGUGCCUCAUCCCCUACAGAACACCCAAGUGAAAACUAAAUGCCUCCUGGCGCCAGAAGGAAGUUCUCAUGUAAUAGAUACUUUGUGGUGUCAGAGAGCAGGGAUUCUGUGCACUUUGUCCACCAGACCCUUAAUCAGCUCUUCUGUAAAAGCGGGGCCUGGCUUAUUUACAUGCAAACUUUGUUUCUCCAGCCCCAAGCCCCUCUGACCUCCAGUUCUAAAAUGAGCUCUCAUAGAUGAUCAGGAAACAGGGAAGUGUUUUGGGAAAUGUGCCCACUUUUUCUUGAUUUUUCCCCCGUUUGGCUUAUCUGUGCGGCUCUGCCCAAUUAGCAAGGAAAGUGAGCCAAUUAACUUGCAGCGGGGGAGAAAAAUCCACUCUGUUACAUUCCUCUUAAAGUCUGAUUCUCAAGCAGAGCUCCUUGAGGAUGUUGCAAACAUCCUACCUAAGGAACCCUCAUGCCUGGUUACAUCGCCCUGCUCCCAUUCCUUCUUAGACUGCCACAUUCUGGCAGCUUCCUUUAGGGAAGAGAGGGGCAGAAUUAAAAAACAAACACAACAACAAAAAAAAACAACGAAAGACUUAACUGUAAACUCAAUGAAGGCAGAGACUGUGUCUUGUUCAUCUGGGUAUCCUCAGUGGCUAGCAGCUUAAGAAGGCACUGCCGAAAUAUGUGGUGAUUGAAAACAUUCACAAACACAUGAGCACAAUCCAGCCUUCACCCAUAAUUAAUGGAAGGUGCACACACAACCCGUAAUUUGCCCUUCAUUUAACCAACUCGGUUUAUUCCUAUGUACUCUACCCUACUAUCAAUACUUACAGAGACCCAAUUACAUUUCUCACUAACUGAAUGGACUUUUAAGAGUUAUUUCCUGUUUUCAAAUGUAGCUUAUAUAUCCGUCUACUUUUCAUGUGAUAUACUUGCGACAGUCCCAGGGUUCAUUCCUACUAGCAGAAGGAUUACAUUUAUUAUGAACAUCCCAGCAGCAAGAUCUCUUCUUAUAAAAAUGAACUCUAGCUUUAAAUACCAUUUGUAACUUUUUAUUCCUGAUUGAAAAAAAAAAUCAGAAUUUUUAUAAAGUUGCAGAGGAUCACAGACCUACAAAACCUCAGAUUACUCUUUUUCUCAUAGAAUGAGGAGAGAAUGGGACCCCUGAAAGUUUCAUGGGUUAGCAGAGAAGGAGGACUCAGAAAGACAGGAAUCUGUGAGGUGAGAGGAAAACCAAAAGUGAGUAGUGUCAUUGAAAACAG